rnacentral:rRNA from 1 species
ACGAACGCUGGCGGCGUGCCUAAUACAUGCAAGUAGAACGCUGAAGAGAGGAGCUUGCUCUUCUUGGAUGAGUUGCGAACGGGUGAGUAACGCGUAGGUAACCUGCCUUGUAGCGGGGGAUAACUAUUGGAAACGAUAGCUAAUACCGCAUAACAAUGGAUGACACAUGUCAUUUAUUUGAAAGGGGCAAUUGCUCCACUACAAGAUGGACCUGCGUUGUAUUAGCUAGUAGGUGAGGUAAUGGCUCACCUAGGCGACGAUACAUAGCCGACCUGAGAGGGUGAUCGGCCACACUGGGACUGAGACACGGCCCAGACUCCUACGGGAGGCAGCAGUAGGGAAUCUUCGGCAAUGGGGGCAACCCUGACCGAGCAACGCCGCGUGAGUGAAGAAGGUUUUCGGAUCGUAAAGCUCUGUUGUAAGUCAAGAACGGGUGUGAGAGUGGAAAGUUCACACUGUGACGGUAGCUUACCAGAAAGGGACGGCUAACUACGUGCCAGCAGCCGCGGUAAUACGUAGGUCCCGAGCGUUGUCCGGAUUUAUUGGGCGUAAAGCGAGCGCAGGCGGUUUGAUAAGUCUGAAGUUAAAGGCUGUGGCUCAACCAUAGUUCGCUUUGGAAACUGUCAAACUUGAGUGCAGAAGGGGAGAGUGGAAUUCCAUGUGUAGCGGUGAAAUGCGUAGAUAUAUGGAGGAACACCGGUGGCGAAAGCGGCUCUCUGGUCUGUAACUGACGCUGAGGCUCGAAAGCGUGGGGAGCGAACAGGAUUAGAUACCCUGGUAGUCCACGCCGUAAACGAUGAGUGCUAGGUGUUGGAUCCUUUCCGGGAUUCAGUGCCGCAGCUAACGCAUUAAGCACUCCGCCUGGGGAGUACGACCGCAAGGUUGAAACUCAAAAUGAAUUGACGGGGGCCCGCACAAGCGGUGGAGCAUGUGGUUUAAUUCGAAGCAACGCGAAGAACCUUACCAGGUCUUGACAUCCCGAUGCUAUUUCUAGAGAUAGAAAGUUACUUCGGUACAUCGGUGACAGGUGGUGCAUGGUUGUCGUCAGCUCGUGUCGUGAGAUGUUGGGUUAAGUCCCGCAACGAGCGCAACCCCUAUUGUUAGUUGCCAUCAUUCAGUUGGGCACUCUAGCGAGACUGCCGGUAAUAAACCGGAGGAAGGUGGGGAUGACGUCAAAUCAUCAUGCCCCUUAUGACCUGGGCUACACACGUGCUACAAUGGUUGGUACAACGAGUUGCGAGUCGGUGACGGCGAGCUAAUCUCUUAAAGCCAAUCUCAGUUCGGAUUGUAGGCUGCAACUCGCCUACAUGAAGUCGGAAUCGCUAGUAAUCGCGGAUCAGCACGCCGCGGUGAAUACGUUCCCGGGCCUUGUACACACCGCCCGUCACACCACGAGAGUUUGUAACACCCGAAGUCGGUGAGGUAACCUUUUGGAGCCAGCCGCCUAAGGUGGGACAGAUGAUUGGGGUG